rnacentral:rRNA from 1 species
GGGGAAUUUUGGACAAUGGGCGCAAGCCUGAUCCAGCAAUGCCGCGUGCAGGAUGAAGGCCUUCGGGUUGUAAACUGCUUUUGUACGGAACGAAAAGCCUCUCUCUAAUACAGGGGGGUGAUGACGGUACCCGCAUAAGAAGCACCGGCUAACUACGUGCCAGCAGCCGCGGUAAUACGUAGGGUGCGAGCGUUAAUCGGAAUUACUGGGCGUAAAGCGUGCGCAGGCGGUUUCGUAAGACAGACGUGAAAUCCCCGGGCUCAACCUGGGAACUGCGUUUGUGACUGCGAGGCUAGAGUACGGCAGAGGGGGGUAGAAUUCCACGUGUAGCAGUGAAAUGCGUAGAGAUGUGGAGGAAUACCGAUGGCGAAGGCAAUCCCCUGGGCCUGCACUGACGCUCAUGCACGAAAGCGUGGGGAGCAAACA